rnacentral:misc_RNA from 1 species
CGAAACACAAUCUUCUUUAUAUUGCUAAAUCAUAAUAAUGACAACUAGCUAUGAUCCACCUUCUUGGGCUGGGAAACCACUGGGUGGUCUACAUCUUGACGUCCUGAAGGAUGGAAAGCUAAUUCAGAAGUUAAUGAUUGACGAUAAGAAAUGUUAUCUUUUCGGUCGGAACCCGCAGCUCAACGAUUUUUGUAUUGAUCAUGGUUCCUGUUCUCGAGUUCAUGCUGCUCUUAUCUGGCAUAAACAUCUGGAAAGAAGCUUUUUAGUGGACUUGGGCAGCACUCACGGAACUUUUAUCGGAAAUUUCCGAAUAGAAUCAAACAAACCUACUCAGCUUCCAGUAGAUUCUACAUUCAGGUUUGGAGAAUCAUCGAGAAGAUAUAUUAUAAGAGAAAGGCCAAAGAAUUUGCACCGGCCAAUUAUGGACGAGCUGGAAAAGACUGGAAGUGAGCUGGACGGCGGCGGUCUUCUUGGACUUCCGGAAACUGAAAAUGAGUUGGAUAACCUGACCGAGUACAAUACUGCACAGAAUAGGCGUAUCUCUAUGAUGGGUAUACCUAAAGACGACGGUUUGAACCGCCGGCGGAAGAUCCGAAUUACGUUUAAUGAGGAGGAGGAGGUGAUCAACCCCGAGGAUAUUGAUCCUAGCAUCGGCAGGUUCAGGAAUAUGGUCUUCACAACAGUUAUACCAACUAAACCAAGGAAAGCCCAGGAUCUAGGUUUAGGAUUAGAGGUGCAAGAUGAGUUCUCAGCUAAAAUCAAGGAAAGCAACCAACAUCCUCAAUCUGUACCAGGGUUGUAUGAUGAUCUUGAGACUGGAGCAUUUAGCCGUAGUUUAUCCUCUUCUCUGGGUCUACCCUUACCUAACCCUGCUCCAGAGAUAGAUAUUGGGAUCAAGAUUACAGGUUCUGUGGAUAUGCUACCACCUGGAGAAAAGCGUCCUCGUCCUGCCGAGGGCGGAGAAAAUCCCAAUGAACCCAAGAAGAAAAAAUACGCCAAAGAGGCGUGGCCAGGACGGAAACCUGGUCCGGCCCAGGGACUGUUCUAGGGAAGGCGUAACAUUUUCAUUUUCCAUCCUUUACACUUUACAGUCCACUGGAGUCAAAACCUUCUGGAUACUGUUCAGGGUUCAUAUCUCGUUUUUUUUUACUGAUGAAAAGCUAAACUUUAAACCAAACAUUUUUUUGCAGAUCCUCAGAAAACGUGAAAACGUUGUCCUAAUCUCAAACAAUGGAUUACAAUGUAUGAUAUAAAAUUGAUUACCUCUUUUUCCCCCAGGUUAGAACUUAAACUAUUUGACGAUAAAGCCGAAAACUUUUAGUUCCCCUGUUAUGAAAUAAUUUUCUUUUGUAUUUAGAGCGGAAUUGUGAAUGUAACGAAUUUAUCUCACAAUUUUUGUCUUGAAUCUUAAAUCCUGGAGAUUUGUCGAUAUUCGUCCCUUUAAGUUAUUCUCAGCUGUUUGUUUUCUAUGUUCUGUUUAAUAUUUUCAGA